rnacentral:sRNA from 1 species
UCCUAGCCCCGAUAGAAGUGAAAAUCCUUUUGUGGCGGGGUUCGCCUCAAAAGAUUGGAACGGAUUGCUUCGCCAGUU